rnacentral:lncRNA from 1 species
AUGCACGACUAAAUCGCAUCUAGACUCGCCGAGACACAAUGGGAGAUCAAAUCUCAAACAUCCUUGUCAUACUACAAAGUGGACAUUUCCAACACCCUCCACCAAAUUAAACAUAUACGGAGAAUACACUUUACCCUUCUCUUUGUUAUCCUUUGAAAUUGCACAUUGAGGGCAAUGUAGGCUAAGUAGGGGGGACAUGC